rnacentral:rRNA from 1 species
AUUGAACGCUGGCGGCAUGCCUUACACAUGCAAGUCGAACGGCAGCACGGGAGCAAUCCUGGUGGCGAGUGGCGAACGGGUGAGUAAUACAUCGGAACGUGCCCAGUAGUGGGGGAUAACCCGGCGAAAGCCGGACUAAUACCGCAUACGACCUAGGGGUGAAAGCAGGGGAUCGCAAGACCUUGCGCUAUCGGAGCGGCCGAUGUCAGAUUAGCUAGUUGGUGGGGUAAAAGCCCACCAAGGCGACGAUCUGUAGCUGGUCUGAGAGGACGACCAGCCACACUGGGACUGAGACACGGCCCAGACUCCUACGGGAGGCAGCAGUGGGGAAUUUUGGACAAUGGGCGCAAGCCUGAUCCAGCCAUGCCGCGUGCGGGAAGAAGGCC